rnacentral:tRNA from 1 species
AGCCUCGUAGCUCAGUUGGCUAGAGCGUUGGCUGUACUAAAGCCUUCACCUAACUGGCGUGAGUUCAAAUCCCACUGAAGUCG